AGGUGCCACAAGGACAGUGCGGUUGCUGCUCGCCGUCCACGCUUACGUGAAGCCGACGCGCUAGAUUUUUUCAGCC
rnacentral:sRNA from 1 species